UACGAAGGGGGCGAGCGUUGUUCGGAUUUACUGGGCGUAAAGGGCGCGUAGGCGGCCUUGUCAGUCAGGCGUGAAAGCCCCGGGCUCAACCUGGGAACGGCGCUUGGGACGGCGAGGCUGGAGUUCGGGAGAGGAGAGUGGAAUUCCCAGUGUAGAGGUGAAAUUCGUAGAUAUUGGGAAGAACACCAGUGGCGAAAGCGGCUCACUGGACCAUUACUGACGCUGAGGCACGAAAGCUAGGGGAGCAAACAGG
rnacentral:rRNA from 1 species